rnacentral:rRNA from 1 species
CACUCCUACGGGAGGCAGCAGUGGGGAAUUUUGGACAAUGGGCGAAAGCCUGAUCCAGCAAUGCCGCGUGAGUGAAGAAGGCCUUCGGGUUGUAAAGCUCUUUUGUCAGGGAAGAAACGGUGAAAGCUAAUAUCUUUUGCUAAUGACGGUACCUGAAGAAUAAGCACCGGCUAACUACGUGCCAGCAGCCGCGGUAAUACGUAGGGUGCAAGCGUUAAUCGGAAUUACUGGGCGUAAAGCGUGCGCAGGCGGUUUUGUAAGUCUGAUGUGAAAUCCCCGGGCUCAACCUGGGAAUUGCAUUGGAGACUGCAAGGCUAGAAUCUGGCAGAGGGGGGUAGAAUUCCACGUGUAGCAGUGAAAUGCGUAGAUAUGUGGAGGAACACCGAUGGCGAAGGCAGCCCCCUGGGUCAAGAUUGACGCUCAUGCACGAAAGCGUGGGGAGCAAACAGGAUUAGAAACCCGGGUAGUCCCAUG